ACCCCAUAGCCGGUCCACUACAAAACACAUCAUUGUAGAGAGCACAGCGUGGACUAGCUCUCAAGAGCCGCGGACAUCAACUCGAUUUCUCGCAGAUUGCCAAUGCAAUCUGCCAGCCUCCCGUUAUAUAUAGAUAGAUGGGUGACCUUCCCGUCAAUAUUCUUUCUGUUUUCAUGCAUCUUCUCUAGUACCUGGCUUAUAGCAACAUCCGAUACUCAACAACAAAGGUCAUCCACUUCUGAUCACACCCCGGUCUUUCGAGCAAAAUAGCAGAGAAGUGCGUACAAGCUGGAUGUAACAACUGGGCUUUGAGUGGUGGGCGCUUCUGCGCCAAUCAUAAGCCUCCUGGAUCUCAGCAGAAACCUGCAGUGGAAAUCCACAGUGACGGGACUCGGAUUCCCGGUCUCGCAAACGACUGUCAAAGACCACUGAAUCUUGUAGCUGGAUCGCUUUGUUGAUUGUCAUUUGGACUGUUUUUGAAGAGCAUGGAUGGUAGAAGAGGGAAUGGGGAAGACAAUGAGCAAAGGGAAGGGUAUCGAGAAAAGAGACUGUGUUGGGGCGAGUAGAUUAGCUUCUGUCGUGGUAACGGUGUACGGAGUAGUACUUUGAUGAGAUCCACUCGCCAUGCCACUCCACCGCACGUGAUUACCCCUAUAUAGUUGAAGAUUAACCAUCCCACAUAAACAUCAGGAACUGCCCUGAGUGUGUCGGCUUGGCUGGAGAAAAGCUCGGAGGUGGGGCCUUUCACCUUCCGAGGAGUCAAUUGAUCAUGUGCCUAGUGCCAUUUGUUUUAA
rnacentral:sRNA from 1 species